rnacentral:tRNA from 1 species
GGAUUGUGGCUCAAUGGUAGAGUGCUUGCCUAGCAUGUGUGAGGCACUGGGUUCCAUUCUCAGUACCA